AAAUAUUAAAAUUUCACUUUUUUGUUUCAAUUUUGAAGGUGUAAACAAUGCCUUUAUUAUACUUCUUGCAUUGUGAAACAAUAGAAACACAGGAUAGAUUAGAUAAUCUUCAUCGUAAAUUAAGGUGUAAUCACUAGCCAGUCAACACUGACGUUUUGAAUUCAUAUCCUGCUUGUGUGGGUGCACUGGACUCCAAUCUAAUUGACUAGAAUUGUCAGUUUUCCUAUCGAUAGUUGGUCGUUUUCUGUGGGCACUCUAGCGUCAUCCACCUAUAAAAACUGCCUGCCAUGAAAUAGUCCAAAUGUGGCAUUUAAAAGUAGUGUUAAAACACCAACAAUCGAUCAAUCUUAAAUUAAGGUCACAUGGUUUGUUUUUACCAACUUAACGGACUCAAUAUUAUUAUCCAGAAAAUUAUGAUUUAUUGUGUAAUUUCCUAACUUAUAAACCUAAAUAUAUAUCUCCCAAAACUUAUUUUAUAAAUGGCUUAACAUAUAUCUAGAUGUAUCAUAAAUUAUAUUGGUUUUUUUUUUUGCAUUUUUUAUAUAUUUAAUCAGCCUACAAUAGUUUACACUGUCUAAAUAUGACUGUGUUUCACAGAAAUCAACCUAUUAUAGUCGUCGUCACGUAAAAUUGGCACCAUGUUUUUUGUCCAAAAAAAAUAUCAGCCACAUUUAUUCAAGAUGAUGUAGGACAGUAGUGGAUAUUUGGACAGGAUUUUUCUUCCGCUAAUUGAAAAACAUGAUCUUUAGUAAACGUGUUCGAUAUUUAAGAAAAUUUUGACAAAAAACAUGGUGUCAAUUUUACCUGAUGGCGACUAUACAAAUAAAUAUCAAUACAUUUGUUAACCUAAUAUUGUUUGUGAAAUCUCAAUGAAAUGUUUUAAAACUUAGUUAAUAUUAGAAUUAUAAAAAUACAGACCGAAGGUUAUCUUUUAUGUUUAUUUGAUGUUCCAGAAUCAAUUAAAGUCUUGUAUAUGUACAUUUAUACCUACACUUGUAAAAUGUUCAUUUCUAUCGGACAAAACUCAUAUAUCUG
rnacentral:lncRNA from 1 species